AACGAACGCUGGCGGCAUGCCUAACACAUGCGAGUCGAACGAGACCUUCGGGUCUAGUGGCGCACGGGUGCGUAACGCGUGGGAACCUGCCCUUAGGUUCGGAAUAACUCCCCGAAAGGGGUGCUAAUACCGGAUAAUGUCUUCGGACCAAAGAUUUAUCGCCUUUGGAUGGGCCCGCGUUGGAUUAGCUAGUUGGUAGGGUAAAAGCCUACCAAGGCGACGAUCCAUAGCUGGUCUGAGAGGAUGAUCAGCCACACUGGGACUGAGACACGGCCCAGACUCCUACGGGAGGCAGCAGUGGGGAAUAUUGGACAAUGGGCGAAGGCCUGAUCCAGCAAUGCCGCGUGAGUGAUGAAGGCCUUAGGGUUGUAAAGCUCUUUUACCCGGGAUGAUAAUGACAGUACCGGGAGAAUAAGCUCCGGCUAACUCCGUG
rnacentral:rRNA from 1 species